rnacentral:lncRNA from 1 species
UAUCUAUCACUUAUGUGCAUAUCUCACCUAUAGAAAAUACCUAAUUUUACAAUCCAUACUAAGAAAAAUUGGGAAUGGUUUUAUAUACAAGAAAGGCAGUUUCGUAUUCUUUGAUAUCAAGUUCAAUUCUCCAUGCAGAAACGACCACUUUUUUUUCUGUGUCCAGUAGCAUCGUAUAGAUCUAUUCUUAAAAUAUUUUCUCGCAUAAUGCCUGGACAUCGGUGGACAUGCAACAUUACACAGUGUGACACGUUUACAAAUGAAAAUCAACACUCAGACUAGUCAUUAAGUAGGACAAUAAAUGAACAAAAGAAAAACCCGGGACACAGAAGUACAAACAAUAGACCAUCA